GUUACAUUUAAACCUAAUUUUCAAACUGACUUGCUUGAGAUCCAAAGCACAUUUUUAAGCAUCAGAGCUCUAGGAGCAGAAAAUAGCAUCCCUGGGAUGACAGGAAGGAUGCCCUGUGCCUGGAGGAGGUCUCCCUCCAGGAUUCAGCACACCAUGGAGCUGUGGGAAGUGUGUUCUCUCUGUCAUGAGAGAGAAAGGAGUGGCUGGCUCAGCAAGAUUAGGGCCUCUCUCUGGAUUGUUCCUCAGAACCAGAAGAACUGUGUGGAGUGGCAGCAACUGGAGGAAGCAGAAUGUCCCCGAGCAAGAUUGUCAAGAGAAAAAAGUUAUAUGUAUAAAAUAUACAGUAGAAUUGGAAGAUGGAUCUAAUGAGAAUAACACUAAGGAAACACCAUCCUUCAAAAACUAAAAGCUCCUUGAUGAGGUGAGAGGAUUGCAUUAACAAAGGCUGAAGGGACAGUGUGGGCUACUGAAAUAUGGGUCAAGUUGGGCUGGAACCUGCCCCUCUUCUGGGAUCAGUUUGGGGUAUAGAGAUAUAGCAGAAAUCUCAGAUAAUUUGAGAGAUUCCAGUGCAGGGGUAACCUAUGCUUUCUUUCCCAGGUAGACACCAGGCGAAAGGCAAGAUGCCAGAGUAUAAAUGACUUUGAGGUGUGUUCAGUCAGGUGAGAUGUAGACAGCCUUACUAUUGCCCACUGCCCAGUGAGAUAUGGGAGUGGUAAAAACGUGCCUGCAUCUGAGAAGAGC
ensembl:lincRNA